AGUUCUCACCCCACUUUAUUGCAGGGCCGAGUGCGAGCGGACCGGGCGAGGACCGCGGUAAGGGCAUAGCGCCCUAGUUAGCUAGCAGCUUUUCUUUGUGCAUUAGAGUACCCUCGUGUACAUGAGUGAUAGAUGAUGUAUAUAUUGGAGAGUUGUAGGUAUGUAUUUUGAGAUGAACAUGUAUACAUUUUGGAGAUGAAAAAUAUAAACUCGAUGUAUAUGUUGAAUGGAAUUGUGAUAGCUGGAA
rnacentral:lncRNA from 1 species